GCUCAUCAUGUUUAUGCUAAGCUAACAGAGGCUAAACAGCAGUUUGAACAAAUGGCAGAAGACAACCAAAAAAUUCUGGCAGAGUUUAAAGAAAGUCUUGACCAAACUGUGGAAGGGUCCAGGCAGAAGAGCCACGAGGAACAUGAGGAUGCACAGCAGAAAAUGGUGGAGCCACAGGUGGAGCCAAGUUCACAAGCCAGAUUACUCCAUCAUGAGGUCAUGCAGGUGGCUUUGGAGUGCAUCAGAGCAGGGGCUAAAUCCACUAUCAUUGACUGACACAACUGAGGCAUGGACAGCAGAGCUGAAUGAAAGAGUCAGAGAAUUCGAGAAGGAUUUCCAAAAAAAUGGAUUCUUAAAUUCUGAAACUGAUAAAAGUGUGGGGCAGCAGCUAUUGUUACUGCAAGCUGAGUGUGCGAUCGAUGGAUUUAAGGUAUGCAUUUAUGUGUAUGGCCAUACGGGUUCAGCGAAAACCUUCACAGUGGUUGGAGACAGAGAUCGAAGCAACCCAAUCAUUCCAAGAACAUUCACCAAGAUCUCUGAGAUCAUCCAGGAUAAUGAGUCUAAAUUUGAGUUUAAGGUUUCAGCCUGCAUGCUGGAGCUGUACAAUGACCGCCUACAGGAUCUCUUUGUGAGCCCCGCUGAAGCUUUCAGCAAGCGAGUUGAAAUUGAGAGGGACAGAAAGGGGCUUGUGUUCGCCCAGGGAGCAGAAACAAAAGAGGACACCAGCGCUGGCGAACUCUUUGCAUUAUUUGAGUAGGGCUGUGCAAACCACCACAUUGCGGCCACAA
ensembl:lncRNA